UAUAGUAGAAAAAUGGACAUCAACGCUGAGCUCUAUGAGCUCCUGGUUAAUGAGGAAAUAUUUUGGCUUCAACAGUCCCACGAGCGCUGGCUGCUCAAAGGAGACCUGAACACUGACUAUUAUCAUAAAAUUGCUAAUGGACGGAAACGUAAAAAUACAGUCCAAUCACUUAAAGUGGGAGAGACAUUGAUUGAAGGCACUGACAAUUUGAUUGCACAUGCCACUGAGUUCUACAAAGAGCUGUUUGGACCAGCCCCUGAUAACCGGGUUCAUCUUGACCCGGGAACCUGGUCCCCUGAAGAGAAAUUAGACGAAAAAGAUAAUAAAGAUCUUUGUCGAGAAUUUACAGAACAAGAGGUCAAAGAGGCUCUUUUCGACAUGGCUCCUAAUAGAGCCCCUGGACCCGAUAAUAUUCCUGCUGAGUUCUAUCAGGUGUGUUGGGAUAUAGUCAAAAAUGACAUUAUGGCCCUUUUUAAAGCUUUCCACCAAGGGACACUGGAUGUUCAACGGCUUAACUAUGGAGUUAUUACUCUACUCCCUAAGGUUUCUGAAGCCGAGAAAAUCCAACAAUACAGGCCUAUCUCCUUGUUGAGAUGCCCAUAUAAGUUGAUCACCAAAGUUCUUGACCGUAGAGUUGCCAUUUAUGCGAACAAACUCAUUAGUACUACUCAAAACGCCUUUGUAAAAGGGAGAAACAUCAUGGACGGGGUCCUGUCCCUUCAUGAAAUCCUUAAUUACACUUAUGUUAAGAAGAAAGUGGGAAUCGUCCUUAAGUUGGACUUUGAAAAAGCCUAUGAUAAGGUGAAUUGGGACUUUCUCCUAGAAUGCCACAAGAUGCGGGGCUUUGACAAAACCUGGUGUGGUUGGAUUGAAAAGAUACUGCACAAUGGGACGGUGAGCAUCAAACUAAAUGGUAGUGUUGGGCCGUAUUUUCAAAGCAAAAAAGGGGUU
rnacentral:rRNA from 1 species